UGACUUUGACAGGAGAAAUGAACAUGAACAGGGGACUGUCAGCGAGCAGAAAUAUUUCUGCCCCUCUGAAUCUCUUAUCCCGUCGAGAGUGCACACAGGCUCGGCAAUGGUCGCAGGUACAAAAUGCUUUAGGCCUGAAACCAGUGAAUUGGGCUUGGGCAUCCAUAUGAUAGGCAGUGCGCUGGAUCAGUGGAAGCAAUCCGUCCGAGCUUCUUUCACAGGCCGAACUCAGGCGAUCUUCUUUACCAUCUCAGUUCAGGUGGGAAACAAAUGAUCUCAUCAUAUUCAGACCAUACAGCCGCAUCCACAUUCUUAUUCAAUUUAUUGUUUGUGGGAACUUGCAUUUCUGUUUUUACUUUGAAAAGAAUUCAAGUCUUUUUUUUUUUGAAUAUGAAAAGAAUUCAAGUCUUGGUAUACUUUUGCAAAAGAACAACACACACUAGCCAGUGGCAGAACUUGUUUAACCAGGCAGCUCUUGGGAGAGACAUACAUGUCGCCACAUGUCGGCACAAAGAGUUUCCAAUUCUUAUUCUGAUUUUUUGACAUGUGUACCUACCUGAAAAGAGAUAUUUUGUCUUGUAGACAGCUAGUGUAGUAGUGGUUAACUGAACUGCCGGCGGUCAUUGUCUCUUUCAUUAUCCUUAUAAUGUAGUCGACCGAGUUUACUACAGCCACUUGAUGAC
rnacentral:lncRNA from 1 species